GCGCCCGGAGAAUCCCUUGUCGGUCUGCUUGGAGACUUUCAGGUAAUCGUCAUAGAAGCCGACAAAGCCGAAGCCGAGCGUGACCAGCAGCACGAUCCAGACAUACGCAUUGCGCAGGUUGGCCCACAGCAGUGUCGAGACGAUCAGUCCCGACAGGAUCAUCAGCCCGCCCAUGGUGGGCGUGCCCUUCUUGGUCACCAGGUGCGUCGGCGGACCGUCUGCACGGAUCGGCUG
rnacentral:misc_RNA from 1 species